GUUGCUUCUGCACUUAUAUUAUGCUGAACGCCCCUUUCUGUGAUUGGGUUUUCACACUGCGAAGCAUAUAGCUGUGUAAUUGCCAGUUUUAAACAGCAUGAUGUGUUCUUUUUUUUUGCAUUGUGUUACCUGUCUGCUGGUAAAUCC